AGUUUACUGCUUAGCGAUUUGGGCGUAUGCCUCGUAGCUCCGGUAUCAAACAUAACAUCCCUACCGAAAAGUUGACAAAACAAAAAGGAGCAAGCAGGUUGAUUUUCUCUUUCAUUUUGUGCCCACGAAGAGAAGGUCUGCUGGACGGAGAAAGAGGGUCUGUGGGUGAACGUUGUCGGGAAAGAAGAGAAGGAAGAGGAGGAUGUCACAAUACAAAAACAAGUAGAGGAUGAGGCUGUUACAGUGAAAUAAGAAGAGGCAGACGCGUUCAGAGUGAAAGAGGAAGUUUCAGUAAAAGAAGAUGAGGAAACUGGAUUUCUGGGCCCGGUUUCCCAAAGGCAUGUUAAAGCAUCCAAUGGUUCUAACGAUGAACGGGCCCUGAUUAACACUAGAGAGAGACGGGACUAUCGUUGAUCCUCUGGGGAACCUCAACAACAUCAUGAUGCUGAGGAGGCAGAGAAGUCUCUCCAGAUCAGAACUCCUCAAGAAGCACCAGCAUAGACCCAUAGGGAAGAAAUCUAACUGCUGCUCUUCUCUGUGGGAAGAGAUUCAACUCUAAAGUAGACCUUAAAUUACAUCAAGGAAUUCACACAGGAGAGAAAUCGUAUAGCUGUGAUCAAUGUGGGAAGAGUUAUACUCAGCUAAUCAGCCUGA